rnacentral:rRNA from 1 species
GGGCUCAACCCCAGGGGUGCGUUGGAUACUGUGAGGCUAGACGGUCGGAGGGGGUAGCGGAAUUUCCGGAGUAGCGGUGAAAUGCGCAGAUACCGGAAGGAACGCCAAUAGCGAAGGCAGCUACCUGGACGACUUGUGACGCUGAGGCGCGAAAGCGUGGGGAGCAAACCGGAUUAGAUACCCGGGUAGUCCACGCCCUAAACCAUGAGUGCUGGGUGUCCGGCUUCUGCUGGGUGCCGUAGCUAACGCGCUAAGCACUCCGCCUGGGAAGUACGCACGCAAGUGUGAAACUCAAAGGAAUUGACGGGGGCCCGCACAAGCGGUGGAGCAUGUGGUUUAAUUCGAAGCGACGCGAAGAACCUUACCAGGCCUUGACAUGCCCGGAACCCCUCUGAAAGGAGGGGGUGCCCGCAAGGGAGCCGGGACACAGGUGCUGCAUGGCCGUCGUCAGCUCGUGUCGUGAGAUGUUGGGUUAAGUCCCGCAACGAGCGCAACCCCUAUCCCUAGUUGCCAGCAGUUCGGCUGGGCACUCUAUGGAGACUGCCUGCGAAAGCAGGAGGAAGGCGGGGAUGACGUCUGGUCCGCAUGGCCCUUACGGCCUGGGCGACACACGUGCUACAAUGCCAAGGACAGAGCGCUGCUACCUCGCGAGAGGACGCCAAUCGCAAAAACCUUGGCUCAGUUCGGAUUGGAGUCUGCAAC